rnacentral:rRNA from 1 species
UACGUAGGGGGCAAGCGUUGUCCGGAAUCAUUGGGCGUAAAGAGCGUGUAGGCGGUCCGGUAAGUCGGCUGUGAAAGUCCAGGGCUCAACCCUGGGAUGCCGGUCGAUACUGCCGGACUAGAGUUCGGAAGAGGCGAGUGGAAUUCCCGGUGUAGCGGUGAAAUGCGCAGAUAUCGGGAGGAACACCUAUGGCGAAGGCAGCUCGCUGGGACGGUACUGACGCUGAGGAGCGAAAGCCAGGGGAGCAAACGGG